ensembl:lncRNA
GGAAAAGCAGCGUUAGGAUCGGGAAGCCCAGGCAACGCGAGCAGAAGCUCUCCCUGAAAUCCAUUACUGCCAUAUCCGCGGUGACGGCCGGCAAUCACCGCCCGUCGCUCCAGCUCUUGAUGGGAGAACGCUUCUGCAGCGUCAGACCGCAGCUACCGCAGCUUCGCAAGUGAGAAAAAAAAUGCCAUCCCUGCUGUUGCACAGAUUUUGGGAAGCACGACGAGGAGUCGAGUCAAAAUAUUAGGAGUUUUGCAUUAUGUGACCCACUCGCGCUGACAGAGCGUCACGAGACGAAUGUGAUGAGCAGCGCGUCUCUCCGUGCAGAUUAACGAGGUCCGUGGCAAGGCAUUCGUGAUGGACCGAGGCACGGUGCCGCAGGAACACAGGCACCGAUCUCUCCUUUGCAGUUCUCACACAACCCUGCGCAAAUCAUUAAGGCUUCGGUGACAUGAAACACCUGUGACGGGAGAGAAACCAGGCAGGCUGGUCGUGGUGGGGCUGUGGUCGCCGCCAGUCCUGCCGCAGCGGGAGACCCGGCACUGCCGGCACAGCCAGCGCGGGGUAAAACGGCUGGGGAAGGGGCGGGAGGAGAGGGGAGAUUCUCACCAUGGUGGCAAUCCACCACCUGCGCCAAAGCGCAGUCCUUGGCUGGAGUGAAACCCAACGGACGGUUAAGCGGUGGAACAGGUUGCCCGGAGCAGAUGCACCGUCUCCAUCCUUGGGAGUUUUCAAGACCCGACUGGAUAAAGCCCUGAGCGACCUGGUCCAGCCCCGCAGCUUGGGGCAGGAGGUUGGAGCAGACACCUUCAGAGCUCCCUUCCAACCGGAAUUAUCCUAUCAUCCUACGAUCCCAUGGAAGGUCUGGGGACUUGUGAAGAGCUGGUCUUCUGAUGAGGUGAUGUGGCUGAAGAUUUCAGUUCUAACAAACCGGGAUUUUCGCUUGACAGAGAAAACGGCAUGGUUGUCCUCUGCGUCUGGAGGGUCUUGGGCAAAACAAAACGAGGAAACGUUUGCACCUGGCAUUAAGAGCUUGUAUGAAGCCAGGGCGGAUGAGAGGCUCUUUCCUUCAGCAGAAAUGAAAGGGAAAUUCAGAUUGCCAGGGAGACGCAGGAAGAGAUGGUUGGCUUCGUCCCUGCAUGGUGGCAGCGUCGGAUAAUGUCCUCCUGCAGCCAGCACGGCGGGUGUAAGGGAUGCCGGCAGCCUGCUCGCCGUCCCUGCGUUAGACGGGGGUUGCACCACGGUGGGUGGAAGCAGAUCCCGGGGAAGCCUUGCGUUGUGUUCAUGCGCGUAGUCGCUCCUCUCCUUUAGCCCCUCAGGGCGUGUUCCUGCUCCCCAGCCUUGCAAACGGAGCACGUCCCGGGGCUGCACGAAGCUGUUUGCAAUGUGAACAUGCUUUCACAGCAGCUCCCUGUUCUCUGCCCAAAACAGAGUCAGAAAAAACAUCCGGCUGCAAUCCUGGGCAGCGUGCUGUGGGUGACCCUGCUCGAGCAGGGGGUUGGACCAGACGAUCUCCAGAGGUCCCUGCCGACCUCAACCGUUCUGUGAAAACAUG